rnacentral:rRNA from 1 species
UACGUAGGGUGCGAGCGUUAAUCGGAAUACUGGGCGUAAAGAGCGCGCAGGCGGUCGUUCAAGUCGCGUGUGAAAGCCCCCGGCUCAACUGGGGAGGGUCACGCGAUACUGAUCGACUCGAAGGCAGGAGAGGGAAGUGGAAUUCCCGGUGUAGUGGUGAAAUGCGUAGAUAUCGGGGAGGAACACCAGUGGCGAAGGCGACUUCCUGGCCUGUUCUUGACGCUGAGGCGCGAAAGGCUAGGGGAGCAAACGGG